AGAGGAAAGGAUUUCUUUUUUUUUUUUUUUUUUUAAUGUUAUAUGCAGUGCCAAAUAUUCUCUCCUCGGGGACGCAGAAUAGAAAUAGAAACUGUUCGAGUAGAUCAGUAUCGUGUGGAAGUUACAACUUUAGAUCUGUAAGGAAACACAGAAGGCAGGAAACCCAACCAUGAAUGCUUUCAUUCAUAAAUGCGGCUUCACGUCUGCCGGGCAUCUCCUACCUCCAUCUUUAAGAGACUGGAAAUGAGACAGCACUCUGAUUAUCAACAGCACUGCCUGCUUACUCCCUAAAGUCUGAGAGGAAGGGCUACGUACAUGGGACACGGGCAUUCUAAUCGCCUGGCAGAGUAUUUGGUGAUAAAAUCCUAAAAAUCAUCAUCUUUCAAACCAUGCUUGUGAUGGUGAAUCUGAGACCAAGAGUGUUGUUGGUCAUUUAGUGAACCCUGAUCAAGUUGGAAAUGGGAGAAAAUUCACAUAACAUGGCAGAACCCUAAAGGGAUCGUAAAAAAGUCGAAGAGGUGGAGGGAGGAAGAUUUGGAGAACACGCUCUUAUUUGAAAAAGAUGUUUCCCUCCAACGUGGAAGGAUGGGUGGCAUUUGGCACAAACAUUUCCCCCAUGGACAGUGACUUUUGUCAGGAAGGUUCUCAGCUUCGGCCGCUUCUUCAGCUCACCUGCAGGCCUUUAAAAGCCCGAAGGCCAGGCUGCCCAGACCAUCAGAAUCUCUGCACGUGGGACCCAGGCAGCGACUUCUACUGAAACUUCCAAGGUGAUUCUACUGUGAAAUCGGGGCUGAGAAAUACCAGGAUAGAUCAAGACACAGGUCUUAGGAGAGAAACACACCUGAGAGAGGUAAGACUUUGUCUACAGCCCCUAACGCCUAAUCAAUUACAGGUUCUUGGUCUUCGUCGGCUGACUUCAGCAAAAGACCAUGGAAAAUGUACUCGUAGCAUGGCACUGUUCCAUGGAAAUAGGAAGCAAGCCACAUAGAUGAUUUUAAAUUUUCUAGUAGCCACGUUAAAAAAAAGAAGAAAAACAAAUGGGUGAAAUCAAGAGCACUAUAUUACAGUAUUACUAAUUAUUUUAUUUUAGUAAUCUAUUUUAUUAUUUAACCCAUGCUAUCCCAAAUAUAAUAUUUCAACAAUUAAUCAAUCAAAAACAUUAGAGGUAUUUUACACUAAUUUUUUUUCAUCAUCUCCAAAAUCUUGUGUGUAUUGGGCACUUACGUCACGUCUCAGUAGCCAGAUGUCGAAUGCUCAGCAGCCACGGGUGACUGGUGGCUGCUAUGUUGGAGAGUGCGGUUCUAGCAAAUUAACUAGGAAUGACUUAAGAAACUGAAAAAAUACAGUUAUCGGUGCAUAUAAAAUAAAACCACGUCACAGCCUCCUCUCUCCACAAAACACACACAUGCGCACUGUCAAACAGGCACCCCUUACCAGCCGAGGUGCUGACGGCAUCUCCCUCUUGGCUCCUGCGAGAGCCACGAGGCACUGAAUUAAUCCAUGUGACAUCUUAGAACCCGGUACUCCACAGGCACAUUGAAUAUUUGUCGCUAUUAUCAUGAGACAAUCAACCUCUUCGAAAGAAAAUUUUCCACUGCCGUUGUUUGUUUCUACUGACCCAUUCACGUUUUUAUCUGCUGGCAAGUUUCUUGUGAAAAAAAGAAAGACAAUAACAGUUCUACAAAUUUUGAGAGAAUGGACUCAGAUUGCAGUUUUAGUCAAUUUUAUCUUUUUCACUCUGUCUCUUCAGUCUACUGAUAUACAAUCACGCACAGAACAGAAGUGCAUCGACAAUGAACUGAAAGAAUGAAAAAUUGCAAAGAAAAAUAAACCGCCCAAGACUCUUUAACCAAUCAAAAUUAAAUACACGUGAACUAGCUAGGACACUGGAAAGCUUCUGCUUUUCACAAGCACGUGGAAAUACAAUACUUGGCAAAUUGCAAAAUCUCAUUUCACAGAUAGUUGAAGAUUUUGCUGGUGAAAAUGCAAUCCAUGGACCAAGCAUAGCAUCUUCCAGGAGCUCAUCAGAGUCUCAGGACCCUCGCAGACCUACUGAAUCAGAAUCUACAUUUUAACAAAAUUCCCACAGAUGAUCCACGUGCACGUUACAGUUUGAGCAGUAUUCGUUCAAGGCAUGUUUGUGUUGAGGGCAUUUGUGCAGCUGAUACAAUUAAACUUAAGCUGCUGCUGUUAAAUCUCUGGAGGGAUGGAGCUUGUGACACUAACUAAAAAAGAGGCAUAACCUCACUUCGAACCACGUACAUGAUCACAAAAGGCUUAAAAUGCGGAUGUCAGGAAACACGUGCUUUUCUGAUGAUGAUUUAUUCUUCUUGCUUUCAUGGGGAAAAGAGACCUGAAACGCAGGGGAAAGACUCAAAAUGAGGUGGGGUUGAAGACAAAUACAGUGGUUUUGCCAGGCAUCUUCUUUUACCUCCAACUAUGUGAGGCAAACAGAAGCUGAGUCAGAAGGUUCUUUCUGUAUGGGCCAGCUGCUCUCACAUGUGUACUCGUGUGUGUGUGUGUGUGUGUGCGUGUGUGUGCAGGGACAUCAUCAUGUAGUCUGGAUAAUUAACUAGUCACACUGUGCACGUGAUAUUGGAAGUUUAUGGGCUUUUUUAUUUUCUGAAAGGACAGCCAACUUUCUUUUAAAGGCAUUUCAUUCCCUGAGAAUCUAUUAUCUACAGGGCCAUUUUGCUCAUCGAUUUUGAAAAGCAGGGAAGAUAAAUGUAUUUGGUGACUAAGGAGUGAAUUGUUUAAAACAUCUUUGGACUCAGCAGGUGGCGGCUGCAAAGGGAAAGUGCUGUGGACCCUGCAGAACGCUUGCAUUCCUCCGGACAGUGAUUCCAAACAAUCCUGAACCCUCCUAUGCUUGCAAUGUUGUUUCAUGCAUGUGGUUUUGCUCUUUUUUUGUGGGGGAAGGGAGGAUUUGUUUUUACAAAAUAAACACCACAUCAAAUAUUCCCAGGUGUAUAAUGAAGCAGCAGUUCCUGUCCCCUCCCCCAAUCCCAUUUCUAUUUUUAAAAAUAUUUUUCA